rnacentral:SRP_RNA from 1 species
CAUCGGUUCCUUCGCGACGACCAGUCGUUAACCCCGUCAGGCCCGGAAGGGAGCAGCGGUCGCGGCGAUGUCGGGUGCCGGAGAUCAAGCUGGUGCGG